GGUACUAGAAAAUACGUACAGUAAUUUGAAAAAUAUUUUAUACGACUACAGGAAGACCUAAACAAAAUUUUUACAUGGUCUGAAAAAUGACAGAUGAAAUAUACUGUGGACAAAUGUAAUGUACUAAGCCCAGGAGAUGAAAAUAGAGAAACUAGAUAUCAGAUGAACAAGUUUGAUAUAGAGAAAUCCAACUGUGAGAAAGAUUUAUGUGUAAUGAUAAGUAGGUAUCUUAAACUAAGACAACAAUGUGCAUUUGCUUGAAACGGUUAACAAAGUACAUACUGCAUAGUGAUAUCCCCGUUAGCCGCAACAAUUGGUGAGCACUUCCGAAAAUGAGAGAUUUAUGGGUAAUGAGACGACUCUCAAAGCCAGAAAAAAUCCCCCAUCCCCGGAAUUUUCCGGGUAACGGAAAAAUGUUCUCAGAAGUUCCAGAAAUUGCACAUUACAUCAUUUCUCGAACCCGGAAAAAUAUCCCCCACGCCCAGAAUUUCUCGGUACUGGAAAAUUUUUCUCUGAAUUUUCAGAAAAUUUACCCGAUUUUCAUCUUUCAAACCUGGAAAAAAAAUCCCUCAUCCCCGGAAUUUUCCAGGUACUAGGAAAAUUUUCUCAGAAUUUUCCAGAAAAUUGCUCCCAAAGCCAGAAAGUUCCGACUUUGGGAACGAUUUUUUUAGAAAAUUUCAGUUCCAACUAUUGGAGAGUUCCGGUUAAGAGGGAUUCCAGCUAAUGGAGAUAUUACUUAGGGGGUCCCCGGGUUAUGAACGGGUUCCGUUCUUGAGGACGUCCGUGUCAGAAGGGUAUAUAAGUUGGAACACACCCUAUGUGCACUCUAUCAUAGCCUAAGUCCUUUCAUACAUCUUGAAUCACUUAAUUUAAGAGAAAAGAAGAAAUCGAAUGACAAAAUGCAGUAAAGUAAAGUACGUAAAUAUUAAAGUUUAACACUUGCAUUGAAACAUGGGGCUGGCUUGCCUGAAGAGAUGAGUAAUUAUAGGAGUGACAGAGGCUUUGUUGAGACAAAACUGAAGAUGGUGAUGAUGGUGUACAAUAGAUGUUAACAGGAUUGGUUCUGGAGAAUCUGGUGAGGUAGAAUUAACUGGUCUGGAGUUGCUGGGAGUUGUUCUGUAGAUACUGCAGAGGAUGGUGGGAGUUGCUUUGUAGAUGCUGCAGAGGUUGAUGAGACUGGUUUGGGCUACCUUUCGACUUAAUUUAAACAAAUUUCAAGGUAUGGUUAAACUGAAACUUUCUUCUUUUCAUCAUAAAACUCUUUGUAGCAACACAGGCAUUCAGUAAUACCUCUAUUAACCUUGGUGAAUCUUGCUGUGUUGGGAUCUUGCUGUUCAAAUUUAAACAUUCCUUCUUCAAUAAGCCUGAAAUCUUCUGUCAUUUCUUUUGACAUGAAUUGCAUUGGUUCUGGAGUUUCAGCUUCCUCUUACAAAAUUAGCUUCUCCAGUUCAAUCAGGUCCUCAGUACUUAAUUCUUCAGCAUGAGACUCAAGCAACUCUGUGACAUCAUCCUCAUGAAUAUCUAGCUGGAGUUGGUUCCCAAGGUCUACCACUGUCUUUGUCACUUCCCCAACAUCAUCUUCAAAGCCCCUGAAAUCUUGGACAAACUGUGGGCAGAGUUUUUUUCCAAACACCAUUCAUGUUGGUUUCUUUUACCUCAGCCCAUGAAUCUGCAAUGUUUUUCACAGCAUCCAAAAUGUUGUAGGACUUCCAAAAUUCCUUUAAAGUCCUACCGUCUUUUUGUUCUGUUGUCCUGAUAGCUUGAGCAAAUGUCCUUCUCAGGUAAUAUGCUUUAAAUGAAGCAAUAACUCCCUCGUCCAUUGGUUGCUGAACAGAUGUUGUGUUUGGAGGUAGGUACAGUCGGGGUCAAAAGUUCACUCCCUUCCAAAAUGAAGCAGUGUCGACCCCAAAUGAGAUGAACCAGCACAACCGCAGCCAGGGAGAGAACUUUUGUCCGCCACUGUACAUAACCUUCAUGUUUGGAUGAACAUCAUCUAAACCAAGAGAAUUUUAGAAGGCAUUGACUUUGAAAUACUGUACUGCUCCACUUCUGGGACAGAAUAAUUAAGGUACUGUACCAGUCUUCAUAAAGGGACAAUGUCACCCAAAUUCUUAUUAGCUUUCCAGAUAACUGGAAGUGCUCCCUUGAAAACACAUUUCAAAGCUCUAGGAUUUUCUGACUGGUAGACAAGCAAAGGUUUUAGUUUGUACUCCCCAGCAGCAUUGUCCCCCAGCAUUAAGGUCAAUCUCUCCUUGGCAGCUUUAUGACCUGGUGCUGUUUUUUUCAGGUUUUGAAAGCUAUGUGCGUUCGGGCAUCCCUUUCUAAAAUAAAACAGUCUCAUCAAUAUUAAAAACUUGCUCAGCACAAUAACCUCCAUCUUCUAUUACAGCUAAAGCAGCAGGAAAUUCACUAGCUGCAACUUCAUCCACACUAGCUGCUUCACCUUGUACUUUAAUAUUAGAGAGCUGGGAAGAUGCAAGAAGUGGAAGGGGUAGGUCUGAAAUCCACAGGGUAGUAAGCUUUCUCCUUGAUUAUAUGUUUGGGUUAGUUUUCUCUUUGAGUAUAGGUAUAUACAUUUUAAAAAUGGAAAAGUUAUAUUAAAAUCUGGACAGAAUUUUCAGUGGUUGGGAUUUGAAUGGAACUUUGAGACUUAAAAUCUUCUGGAGGAAGCUCAGCUGUUUUGUAAUGUACUGGAUUCACUCUUAUUUCUUAAGGCAGAUGUUUCGAUGACAAUGUAGAAAGAUGGUAAAAAAUUUAGUGUUUCCAGUCCAAGUCAUGAAGUUGAGUAAUUUUUAUCUCGAGUUGGAAAUCUUCAUCACAACUAUUUUAAGGCCACUUUACACUUGUGUAAUCUUAGUGCUAAAUAGACUUUUAUAUACCUGUACUAAAUACUGUAUAGAAAUAUGGUGUUUCCCUUCCCUCAUGACUAGAAGAUUGCCUUCAAGUGGAUGAGGAACAGAAGGCAACUUUCAUCACAAAGCCUUGAAUGUUUUCCAAACCAGCUUUGUUUGUUUGGACCGAGGUGUCAUGCUUUAGAGGGACCUUUAAACCCAGAUACAAUAUCUAUGUAUAAAAGAG